rnacentral:rRNA from 1 species
GAUGAACGCUGGCGGCGUGCCUAAUACAUGCAAGCCGAGCGAAUGGAUUAAGAGCUUGCUCUUAUGAAGUUAGCGGCGGACGGGUGAGUAACACGUGGGUAACCUGCCCAUAAGACUGGGAUAACUCCGGGAAACCGGGGCUAAUACCGGAUAACAUUUUGAACCGCAUGGUUCGAAAUUGAAAGGCGGCUUCGGCUGUCACUUAUGGAUGGACCCGCGUCGCAUUAGCUAGUUGGUGAGGUAACGGCUCACCAAGGCAACGAUGCGUAGCCGACCUGAGAGGGUGAUCGGCCACCCUGGGACUGAGACACGGCCCAGACUCCUACGGGAGGCAGCAGUAGGGAAUCUUCCGCAAUGGACGAAAGUCUGACGGAGCAACGCCGCGUGAGUGAUGAAGGCUUUCGGGUCGUAAAACUCUGUUGUUAGGGAAGAACAAGUGCUGGUUGAAUAAGCUGGCACCUUGACGGUACCUAACCAGAAAGCCACGGCUAACUACGUGCCAGCAGCCGCGGUAA